AAUAGAUACCCCGGUAGUCCACGCCGUAAACGAUGUCGACUUGGAGGUUGUGCCCUUGAGGCGUGGCUUCCGGAGCUAACGCGUUAAGUCGACCGCCUGGGGAGUACGGCCGCAAGGUUAAAACUCAAAUGAAUUGACGGGGGGCCCGCACAAGCGGUGGAGCAUGUGGUUUAAUUCGAUGCAACGCGAAGAACCUUACCUACUCUUGACAUCCAGAGAACUUAGCAGAGAUGCUUUGGUGCCUUCGGGAACUCUGAGACAGGUGCUGCAUGGCUGUCGUCAGCUCGUGUUGUGAAAUGUUGGGUUAAGUCCCGCAACGAGCGCAACCCUUAUCCUUUGUUGCCAGCGGUUAGGCCGGGAACUCAAAGGAGACUGCCAGUGAUAAACUGGAGGAAGGUGGGGAUGACGUCAAGUCAUCAUGGCCCUUACGAGUAGGGCUACACACGUGCUACAAUGGCAUAUACAAAGAGAAGCGACCUCGCGAGAGCAAGCGGACCUCAUAAAGUAUGUCGUAGUCCGGAUUGGAGU
rnacentral:rRNA from 1 species